rnacentral:rRNA from 1 species
UAACCAUUCGGGGUGGAUUAGUGGCGAACGGGUGAGUAACACGUGGGCAAUCUGCCCUUCACUCUGGGACAAGCCCUGGAAACGGGGUCUAAUACCGGAUAACACUCUGUCCCGCAUGGGACGGGGUUAAAAGCUCCGGCGGUGAAGGAUGAGCCCGCGGCCUAUCAGCUUGUUGGUGGGGUAAUGGCCUACCAAGGCGACGACGGGUAGCCGGCCUGAGAGGGCGACCGGCCACACUGGGACUGAGACACGGCCCAGACUCCUACGGGAGGCAGCAGUGGGGAAUAUUGCACAAUGGGCGAAAGCCUGAUGCAGCGACGCCGCGUGAGGGAUGACGGCCUUCGGGUUGUAAACCUCUUUCAGCAGGGAAGAAGCGAAAGUGACGGUACCUGCAGAAGAAGCGCCGGCUAACUACGUGCCAGCAGCCGCGGUAAUACGUAGGGCGCAAGCGUUGUCCGGAAUUAUUGGGCGUAAAGAGCUCGUAGGCGGCUUGUCACGUCGGAUGUGAAAGCCCGGGGCUUAACCCCGGGUCUGCAUUCGAUACGGGCUAGCUAGAGUGUGGUAGGGGAGAUCGGAAUUCCUGGUGUAGCGGUGAAAUGCGCAGAUAUCAGGAGGAACACCGGUGGCGAAGGCGGAUCUCUGGGCCAUUACUGACGCUGAGGAGCGAAAGCGUGGGGAGCGAACAGGAUUAGAUACCCUGGUAGUCCACGCCGUAAACGUUGGGAACUAGGUGUUGGCGA